rnacentral:rRNA from 1 species
UGGGGAAUUUUGGACAAUGGGCGAAAGCCUGAUCCAGCAAUGCCGCGUGUGUGAAGAAGGCCUUCGGGUUGUAAAGCACUUUUGUCCGGAAAGAAAUCCUUGGCUCUAAUACAGUCGGGGGAUGACGGUACCGGAAGAAUAAGCACCGGCUAACUACGUGCCAGCAGCCGCGGCAAUACGUAGGGUGCAAGCGUUAAUCGGAAUUACUGGGCGUAAAGCGUGCGCAGGCGGUUUGCUAAGACCGAUGUGAAAUCCCCGGGCUCAACCUGGGAACUGCAUUGGUGACUGGCAGGCUAGAGUAUGGCAGAGGGGGGUAGAAUUCCACGUGUAGCAGUGAAAUGCGUAGAGAUGUGGAGGAAUACCGAUGGCGAAGGCAGCCCCCUGGGCCAAAUACUGACGCUCAUGCACGAAAGCGUGGGGAGCAAACAGGAUUAGAUACCCUGGUAGUCCACGCCCUAAACGAUGUCAACUAGUUGUUGGGGAUUCAUUUCCUUAGUAACGUAGCUAACGCGUGAAGUUGACCGCCUGGGGAGUACGGUCGCAAGAUUAAAACUCAAAGGAAUUGACGGGGUCAUAGCUGUUUCCU